AGGAUGAACGCUGGCGGCGUGCCUAACACAUGCAAGUCGAACGUCCUGUCUCGCAAGAGGCAGGGAGUGGCGGACGGGUGAGUACCACGUGGGUCAUCUACCGUGAGGUGAGGAAUACCGGCGAGAAAUCGCCGACAAGACCGCAUAGGCUCGAUGCAAGUCGAGCAAAGCUCUUUCGAGAGAGGGAGCGCCACACGAGGAGCCUGCGCCCGAUUAGCUAGCUGGUGGAGUAACGGUUCACCAGGGCGACGAUCGGUAGCUGGUCUGAGAGGACGAUCAGCCACACUGGGAUUGAGAACGGCCCAGACUCCUACGGGGGCAGCAGUGAGGAAUUUUCGUCAAUGGGGGCAACCCUGAACGAGCAACGCCGCGUGCAGGAAGAAGGUUUCGGAUCGUAAACUGCUUUUCUCGGGAAGAGAAUGGACGGUACCCGAGGAAUCAGCCCCGGCUAACUACGUGCCAGCAGCCGCGGU
rnacentral:rRNA from 1 species